rnacentral:misc_RNA from 1 species
GAUGAAGAACGUAGCGAAAUGCGAUAAGUAAUGUGAAUUGCAGAAUUCAGUGAAUCAUCGAAUCUUUGAACGCACAUUGCGCCCCCCAGUAUUCUGGCGGGCAUGCCUGUUCGAGCGUCAUUUCAACCAUCAAACCCUGCUUGUGUUGGGGUCCUGCGGCUGCCCGCAGGCCCUGAAAACCAGUGGCGGGCUCGCUAGUCACACCGAGCGCAGUAGCACAUCUCGCUCAGGGCGUGCGGCGGGCUCCAGCCGUUAAAGCACCCACCUUUCGCAAGGUUGACCUCGGAUCAGGUAGGAAUACCCGCUGAACUUAAGCAUAUCAAUAAGCGGAGGA